rnacentral:rRNA from 1 species
UACAGAGGGGGCAAGCGUUAUUCGGAAUUACUGGGCGUAAAGAGCUCGUAGGUGGUUUGUCGCGUUGUUCGUGAAAACUCACAGCUCAACUGUGGGCGUGCGGGCGAUACGGGCAGACUGGAGUACUGCAGGGGAGACUGGAAUUCCUGGUGUAGCGGUGGAAUGCGCAGAUAUCAGGAGGAACACCGGUGGCGAAGGCGGGUCUCUGGGCAGUAACUGACGCUGAGGAGCGAAAGCGUGGGGAGCGAACAGG